UUACAUCACGUGCAAUACAACACGUACAAAAACUCUAAUAACUGACAAGUCAGGCACAGAUAAAUCAUAGUGAAAGACUUAAACGUGAGGAGAUCUUAAAAUUUCUGCUAAUUCUGUUUAGAGCAAUGGAGGAGCAUCUGCAUUACACAAGAGACUGCAGCGCAAUUUGCUGUUUGACAUGAGUGAUUUGAGAAACUGUGAACUAGAGAUAAUACCUUCUGUAUGUACCUUCAUAUCGGUUCACCAGCUUCAACCUUCUGCUGCCACUAAAGGGUGUGCUCCUCACACGAGAGGCAGAUGAUGGAUCUUUCCCAAGGAUCACUGUGCUCCUGUCAAAGAAUGGGAUCUCCUGACAAAGCACAAGUCUUCAAAAUUAUGAAUGAUAUGAAGAUGGUGGAUAUGAAACAACUGUUCACUGCUUCCCACAAUAGAGAAGCACGCUGUCAUAACAGCCUUCAUGAAGAGAAGGGCCAAGGUCUACCUGGCUGCUGAAAUGGCUCUGCUCAAGGAAGCAGCGUAAGGCCAGCAAUCUGCCUUCCUUGCUCUGUGUACAAAAUGAUUAACUGAUAGUUUCUAAAACACCCAGAUGCAAACAGCAUUACACACAGGUUUUAAAACAUUCUAACUUAAGGUUUAUACUUCCUGGCCUUGCUCUUAUGGAAGUUCUAUACCACUGUAACAGGUGAAAGAACACUCCACAAAUCUCUUAAAAUUUUCUUUAACAGUAGGAAACAAUUGCUACACGAUGGUUAGGAUGAGGGUGCCUAAAAUAACUCCUCACCAUGCAGUUUUACAGUAACACAUUUCCUGCAGUGCCUCCAUAGGGAGGUUAGAUCACUGAAAAAAAAAAAAAUUAUGUUGGAAUUGCACCUAUUUAAAUGACAGCCAACCUUCCUGUAAUGAACUCUGCAUGGACAACAUGUGACUGGAGCAGAAAAUGUAUUUGCCUAGGCCCUACUUAAAGCUCCACUUUUAUUUGCUUCUUUAAAGCAUUUGACAACUUAAACAGCUACUGACUUGAAAAUGUUGGCCAGGAGCAUCUCCUGUGUUUAUCCAGGGAAAGCUGCUGCUUGGACAAAGUUUCCAAGAACUGCACAGUAUCACCAAAGUCACCUCAAUAAAGGGCCAAUAUGUUAUUAGACUUCCUUACAUUAGACUUUCUAUGAUUUUUAAGGAAACUAAUAGCAGGCUAAGCAAGCAGAUCACUUAAAAUGUAGCAGAUGUGUGUCCAAAAUAAGCAAAUUUCACAUAUGGCACUAAAAAGAGGGAAAAAAAAAAUCUGUCCUUGACAAUGAUUAACUUCUUAUUGUUUGCAUUACAGGAGAGACAACAAGACGUUUGGAGACCUAUUGUGAUAGGCAUUAAAAAUACGUAAUGGGAACAGUUCCUGUUGAAUGAUCUUACAAUUCAGUUAGAGCCCAGACAAAGUAGGUGUAAACAAAGAGAGGCAGUUAAGGAAGAAGGGCAGAUACAUAGUAUACAUGGUAUAGAUAAGCUACAUGGAGAUGUUAUGAGGGGUAAACGACAAACAACAGUAAUGAUCCUUUAGCUUCUACCAGUCGAACUGAGUUUAAAGUGGUUACCCAAGAAAUGAAUGGCCCAUGUUUGUAAAAAAAAAUAAAACUCCUGAAGUUCAUAUAACAUAAAAAUAACUCUGCUACUCCACUUACUCCAUUUUCACAGUUCUAAGAUACAAGAACAGCUAAUGUCCUUAAUCCAAGGGUUAUGACCAUUCUUUAAGCAAUAAAAGUUACUCCGUAGGUAAAGAAAAACAGAUAAGAA